CGAACGGGUGAGUAACGCGUAAGUAACCUGCCUGGUAGCGGGGGAUAACUAUUGGAAACGAUAGCUAAUACCGCAUAAGAACAUUUACUGCAUGGUAGAUGUUUAAAAGGUGCAAUUGCAUCACUACCAGAUGGACCUGCGUUGUAUUAGCUAGUUGGUGGGGUAACGGCUCACCAAGGCGACGAUACAUAGCCGACCUGAGAGGGUGAUCGGCCACACUGGGACUGAGACACGGCCAAGACUCCUACGGGAGGCAGCAGUAGGGAAUCUUCGGCAAUGGACGGAAGUCUGACCGAGCAACGCCGCGUGAGUGAAGAAGGUUUUCGGAUCGUAAAGCUCUGUUGUAAGAGAAGAACGAGUGUGAGAGUGGAAAGUUCACACUGUGACGGUAUCUUACCAGAAAGGGACGGCUAACUACGUGCCAGCAGCCGCGGUAAUACGUAGGUCCCGAGCGUUGUCCGGAUUUAUUGGGCGUAAAGCGAGCGCAGGCGGUUAGAUAAGUCUGAAGUUAAAGGCAGUGGCUCAACCAUUGUAGGCUUUGGAAACUGUUUAACUUGAGUGCAGAAGGGGAGAGUGGAAUUCCAUGUGUAGCGGUGAAAUGCGUAGAUAUAUGGAGGAACACCGGUGGCGAAAGCGGCUCUCUGGUCUGUAACUGACGCUGAGGCUCGAAAGCGUGGGGAGCGAACAGGAUUAGAUACCCUGGUAGUCCACGCCGUAAACGAUGAGUGCCAGGUGUUAGGUCCUUUCCGGGACUUAGUGCCGCAGCUAACGCAUUAAGCACUCCGCCUGGGGAGUACGACCGCAAGGUUGAAACUCAAAGGAAUUGACGGG
rnacentral:rRNA from 1 species